rnacentral:lncRNA from 1 species
CUCCACUCUAUUAUUUGUAUUAUCAUCACACUGUCUUGUAAAUAUAACCCAAUAAGUAAAUGAAUAACUAAAUAUUAAAAAAAAAUAUAUAUUUUGUAACACUGGGAUGCCAGUUUUAUGCCACUCGCAUACCUUUCGCAUCCAUAUCAGACACAACUCUAUUUCCUUCAAUUUGGCAAACUCUGCGUCCGCCAAAAUAAAAUCAUCAAGUCAUGUGAAUAAACAUAAAGUUGAAUGUAACAUGUGAACAAAAACAUAAAGUUGUGUGAAUUUUGCAGAUCUUAUUACAUUUGUCUUUUUCUAUUUUUAUAUCAACAUAAACUAAGGAAUCCCAUCUCCAAAAAAGAAAAAAAAAAAAAGGAAAUAAAAUUAUAUGUAUAUAUUUUUAUCCAUCAGUCUCUCUCACAACAAUUCAUUGAACCAAUAUAGUGAUAUGGAUUACUUAUUCCACCGUUACAAUAUAUUCAUUUAACGACUGGCAUUACUCCACUACUUUAUCAGCUUCGGUGUUUCCCACCCUAUCUAUUAGUCUUACUGCGUUUUAGUGUAUGGGGUCGAAUUUAUGGGGGUCAAAUUUCGUUACCCUCAUAAAAUUUUUUUUUCUUCUCCAACAUGUCGUGCUAGAGUUAAUCCAUGCAACUCCACCUCCUCGGUGUUCCAACCGAACAUUACUCCCAACCUUGUAUACUUUUAUGCUUUACUUUAUCUAGUGAUGAUAACAUAUUCCUUAUUUUACAUAAUUACAUUAGGUCAAUCAUAAAUCACAUAUCAUUUAAGACGUAACAAAAGGAUUUGGAAAGUCGAGAAAAACAAAAGUGUACUUUUAUAAUAUGCAAACUUCAGUUAAUGCAUCGCUAUUUUUUCCAAUUCCACAUAUACAAACGGUAGUCUCAAUAAAAAUGAAAUGAAAUGAAAAUGAAAUAAAAUAUAAUAAAAUAAACCCCUGUUCACUCCAACUUUAUUCAGAUAUCUACUAACAAACAAAAAGUAACUUCCAUCAACUAUUUCUCAUGACAUCCACAUAUCUUUUACUUGUUUUCCCUCUAGCCUUACGUGUUGUCGGAGGUGGCAUCGCUUGUAAAAUAUCUUCUAAUGGAUCAACUUUUCGAUUGUUGCUAGCCGGUGGUAACUUGGCAUUGCUAGCAACGCUGGGAGGCGCAUUCGGCAUAGAGGAUAGAGGAACAGCGGUCUCCUUACCAGUAAGCGGUACAGGCGCCGGCAUUCCUGGAUUCCCGGAAAUUGCUGUAGCACCUGCAGGUGGACCAGCAGGAGGUAGAGCGCUUGUAGGUGCUGCGGAAGGAGGACCGGCUUUGGGAAGCGCCAUGGGAGGUGGUGGAGGCGGUGCUGCUUGAUUACUCAAAUCACUGCCGUCAUCAUUGACCCAUCGUUUCAAUUCUUUAUCAUAAUGCAAAUGGGAUUUCUCCCCUAAUUUCGCUUUAUACACGGUGGGUUGAUCCUUUGACUCAUCCCGUCUUAACAAUUUUGAGAACCAUCCCUUUGCUCCUCCUUUUUUACCAGAUUCUGCAUUCUUCUUUGCUUUUUGCUUUUGCUUUUCCUUCUCUUCUUCCUGACGAACCAAGUCUGCCACGUUUUGUGCUGCUGCUUGUUUGGCUUGCUGACUUCGAUCUUUAUUGAGAUUCAAACUCUCAGAUGGUGCGGCCACUGCUUCUGCACUCGGUGCACUUUGCAUUGCCCCCAUCGCCGGAGCAAUAUUACUAGGUACAUAGGCAUUUUGAUUGAUGGGUGCCAGGGUAGGUUGUAAGUUUGGUAGAUGAGCUGAUGCCGGUUGAAGUGGUUGAUAAGGCGAUGCCAUCUCUGCUCCAACACCAUGAACCUCAUUUGUCGGCAUAUUAAAUGCAGUUCCCAUACCCAUCUUCGGUUCUUGUGAUGCAGACACAGGCAUAUAUGAAUUGUCUGCGACAUUUGAAUAAAAUGUUAAGGGUUGUUGUGACAAUACAGAUGCAUUGUCUUCUUGAGAAUGACGCGGGGUAUAGGGAUUCUCUUGAGAAGCUGGAGUAUAAGGAUAGGCAUUGCCAUCCAUACUCAUAUUCUCAGCAAUUUCUGUGCUACGACGAUAAGGUGAAUAAACUCCCAUAUUCAUUGACUCCUGGCCUGUUAAAGGCGUUCGGUUUUGGUAGGAAGGUCCAGAAGACGUAGGUCUGUCGGAAUAAAAUGAUUCCAUGGCAGCAUUGUUAGUAUUUGUUUGAACUGUUAAAUUCUUUUGACUGGCAACCUUUCCAAAUGGUCCCGGCCCAACCGUAGCUGGACGCAUAACAUCAAAGUUGGGAUCUCCAGCUACGAAUUUACUAAAUUUGCUACCCAACGACGAUAAAACUGUAUCCAGUCUAGGUCUAGACACUGUCCUACCAAGCCAAGACGAAGAGAUAUCUUCACUGCCUGCACUAUUCUCCAAUAUUUGCUGGGUCAAAUCGCGAACACGAAGAACGAAACCUGGAUCAACAUUGUUUGACUUCUUUGCAACACGAUUUAGGUAGUUUCCGAUUAGUUCACAGUAUUUUCUUGCAGCAGAUACCUCACCAGCUUCAGCCAAAACUUCAGCUUCAUACAAGCGAUAUGGUACUAAGUGAGUAAAAAAAACAGGUGUCUUUUCAGAAUAGACGUUGAAUACCAACUCCAAUACUUCGGUCAAUUGUGUAACGUCAAAUAAAUCAUCAUGCGAAGGAUAUAAGUUAUGUUUACUUAAACCAACAAGUUCAAAAAGAGAAUUCGAUUUGUUCGAGCAAACAUCCGGUGAUAAACUUAAGAUGUAAACCAGAUGUGCCGCAUAAACACGGUUUUCCUGGAGUAGUAAUGUCCCUAAAACCCUCAAUGCUUCUUUUUGGUCAGAGUAAUGAUUUGCAAUAAUAUUGUACAGCAACUCCUUCCAGGCUACCAAAGCAUUACUUGCCUGCGAUUGAUCCGCCAAAUUCAAUAGUGACGUAGAAGACGAAAACUCUGACAUUGAAGACGCAUGGGCAUCAGACAUUAAUUGCAAAGAUAAUUGUAAAUUUACUCCAACACCAGAUCUAAGCAUAGAUUCUUUGACCUCUGAUUUACAAAACGUUCGUACUACUCCCUGAAAUGUUUUUGCAUCUAUAGAAUGCGCAACAAUAAUCGCAUAUGGCCAUUGCUUCUGCUGCAAAGCAUAAGUAAGCGCUUCAUCUUUGUUGCCAGACAAUAAAUAUUCAUAAAAUCGGUGAAGGAAAGAAGUUGUGCAAUAACGAGAUGCGACAAUUGGAG